rnacentral:rRNA from 1 species
ACGAACGCUGGCGGCGUGCUUAACACCUGCCAGUCGCACGGAAAGGCCCUGCUUGCAGGGUACUCGAGUGGCGAACGGGUGAGUAACACGUGGGUGAUCUGCCCUGCACUUCGGGAUAAGCCUGGGAAACUGGGUCUAAUACCGGAUAGGAGCCAUUUUUAGUGUGAUGGUUGGGAAGUUUUUUCGGUGUAGGAUGAGCUCGCGGCCUAUCAGCUUGUUGGUGGGGUAAUGGCCUACCAAGGCGGCGACGGGUAGCCGGCCUGAGAGGGUGGACGGCCACAUUGGGACUGAGAUACGGCCCAGACUCCUACGGGAGGCAGCAGUGGGGAAUAUUGCACAAUGGGCGCAAGCCUGAUGCAGCGACGCCGCGUGGGGGAUGACGGCCUUCGGGUUGUAAACUCCUUUCGCUAGGGACGAAGCUUUUUGUGACGGUACCUAGAUAAGAAGCACCGGCUAACUACGUG